rnacentral:rRNA from 1 species
UGGGGAAUAUUGGACAAUGGGCGAAAGCCUGAUCCAGCCAUGCCGCGUGAGUGACGAAGGCCUUAGGGUUGUAAAACUCUUUCGUCGGGGACGAUAAUGACGGUACCCGAAGAAGAAGCUCCGGCUAACUUCGUGCCAGCAGCCGCGGUAAUACGAAGGGAGCUAGCGUUGUUCGGAAUCACUGGGCGUAAAGCGCACGUAGGCGGAUAGUUAAGUCAGGGAUGAAAUCCUGGGGCUCAACCCCAGAACUGCCUUUGAUACUGGCUGUCUCGAGGUCGAGAGAGGUUGGUGGAAUUCCUAGUGUAGAGGUGAAAUUCGUAGAUAUUAGGAAGAACACCAGUGGCGAAGGCGGCCAACUGGCUCGAUACUGACGCUGAGGUGCGAAAGCGUGGGGAGCAAACGGGAUUAGAUACCCAGGUAGUCCCUGAGCGGGCUGGCAAGGCGCAU